CAGUAGCCGCGGUAAUACGGAGGGGGCUAGCGUUGUUCGGAAUUACUGGGCGUAAAGCGCACGUAGGCGGCUUGGUAAGUUAGAGGUGAAAGCCUGGAGCUCAACUCCAGAAUUGCCUUUAAGACUGCCGAGCUAGCAGGUGAGAGAGGUAAGUGGAAUUCCGAGUGUAGAGGUGAAAUUCGUAGAUAUUCGGAAGAACACCAGUGGCGAAGGCGGCUUACUGGCUCAUACUGGACGCUGAGGUGCGAAAGCGUGGGGAGCAAACAGGAUUAGAUACCCCGGUAGUCCCUGUCUCUUAUAA
rnacentral:rRNA from 1 species